UACGUAGGGGGCAAGCGUUGUCCGGAAUCAUUGGGCGUAAAGCGCGUGUAGGCGGCCCGGUAAGUCCGCUGUGAAAGUCCAGGGCUCAACCCUGGGAUGCCGGUGGAUACUGUCGGGCUCGAGUCCGGAAGAGGCGAGUGGAAUUCCUGGUGUAGCGGUGAAAUGCGCAGAUAUCGGGAAGAACACCCGUGGCGAAGGCGGCUCACUGGACCGGUAUUGACGCUGAGGUGCGAAAGCGUGGGGAGCAAACAGG
rnacentral:rRNA from 1 species